rnacentral:lncRNA from 1 species
UAUGUACAGAUCUGACUACAAUGCCGUGUGGUCCGUCUCGUUUAUUUGAAGAGCAUGUUCAACAAAAAUAAAGCAAAAAGUGCUCAUGGAAAUUUGUGGCUGGCAAGAAAUACUGUUCAAAGGAACAGAAGCCACACUGCUCUUUUCUUCGUCACGUAAAAAAAUGUCUUGAUACCACCCUGGUGGCAUGAAAAAUUUUCUUAAACAAAGCAAUGAAUCAGGUUUAAAUAGGGAAAACAGUGGCUGUGAGAUACAACCACCUCAAUUUUUUUAGAGACAACAAAGGAAACUUAAGCAAGGAAUACAGUGACAACAAAGACAAAAUGUAGACAUGCUGCAACUGCAGAAAGAAAUGAGAGGUGCCAUCUAAUGCACCAAUGGCAUAUGUUAAGAAACAGGCACUAAACAGCAGACAUCUUUUCCUCAACUUUAGAAAAACA